rnacentral:lncRNA from 1 species
ACCCCGUCAGUGACCCCCGGCAGACGGAGCAGGCAAGUGUACACUGGGGACCCCCAUGCUCACGUGACAUUAAAAGGAAACGGAAACCUGUGGCCUCAGCAUCUUUUUCUAGCCCUAGUACAGGGCACCCAGAUGUCCUAGAGCCAGCCAUCCCAGCACAGAAGCCUCCUGACUCAGAGUGGUUGGACGGGACCUCUGCAGCAGAGAAAACCACUGCCUUUCCUCCAGCCACAUUUUUCAAAAUGCCACAGGAAAAGAGCUCUGGAUGCAGCUAGAGCCCAGUUACCAAUGGGCGUUGAACCUCUGUAUUGUACAGUCUUAGUGUUCUGAUCAGCAGUCUUGGUCCUGAUGCCACCAGGACCAACUCCUCUUCACACACAGCAGUCACUCUUCUUUUAGAAAAUGAUAUUUGGGGAAUCUUCUUUUGUAAAAUAUCAGUUUUCUUUAAGUGGGCGGGGCAUCCUCUGCUGUAUUUCCUCCUUUUUUUUUUUUUUUUCUUUCUUUUUCGGAGCUGGGGACGGAACCCAGGGCCUUGCGCUCGCUAGGCAAGCGCUCUACCGCUGAGCUAAAUCCCCAACCCCUCCUCCUUUGUUGAUAGCCCACCAUUUGUGUCCAGCUGCUCCCUUACAGCUGCUGCCCCUUGGCAGCUGAGUCUUUGUUCCUGAAAAUCUAGUAACCGCUUUGCAUACCUUCUGUGUAGAGCUUUUAAUAUCACUGAUGAAGUCCUAAAUUCUCAGCCAACUCGAAACACAUCCCUGGAUGGAAGUGUGUUUGUGCAGUAAGGCUUGCCGUAGAGCCUUGGUUCACUCAGUGCCAGUAAGACACAUCAACCACAUUCUCCGUUUGGGGCCCCAGAGGAGACACCAGCAGUAUGGUUUGGGAACUUAUUCCCUUGCCUGCACAUGGUCUGAGGGGAUUGCCAGCAACCCCAUUGUACCUGACUCAUCUUCAUGCUCAGUGUUUACUGACAGCGGUCACAGAGGUCAGUGUACUACAGUGCAGGUGGGGGUUGAGGUGCCCAGCAAAAUAGUGGAUAAUGUUCUGACCCUGGUCUCAGGCUUUAUAUCCUAAGUGGGAUUCCACUGUUAGUGUUUUAUAGGUCAGUGACCAGUGAUAAGCAGAAACUCAUGCUCUGUUAUCUGGAUAAUGGUUGGUUGGGGCCAUGGUUUAGGAAGGAAAGAUGUCUUUGUGACAUGCCUUUCUAUGUGGCGUGUUUAUGACUGCUCGGCUGCAGGUACAGUUGUAUAUAUAGUAGUGUCCAAAGUUGAUGCUACUUUGUCAAGGUGAGGCAUAAGUGAGUACCUGGAGCUGCUAGGGAAGAGCCACAUUUCCCAAAAGUGUCAUCCAGAGUGCCUGUCAUUCAGGCCUGCUCAAGAGUGCUCUCUUUCUGUAUCAGCUGAGUGUGUUGACUCUGGAACGUACGCUAGCGCUUGCUAAAUGCUCGCUGCCUUGGUCGUGUGGGAGAGAAGAAACCUCUCCUUACGUCAGCUGCCAGGUGGUCUGGUGCCUCCUUUUCCUAAAGGGUAAUUCUCCCUCCACACGGAGUGCAGUCAGCAUGUCCCCCUUGAGAGUAUGUCCAUGUGAGAGGAUGCUCUGACUCGUUAGCACUGAGGUGGGCAGGUGGCCAGAAUGUGAGUCUGUUUGCAAAGGGGGACCCGAAGCUUGGUGUUUACAGAUCGUGUGGAUGGCUGAGAGUGUAUCAGCUGACCAUAACAAAAAUGGUGGAGGGGGGCACAGAGAGAGAUCGCAGCAUGAGAAGGGUGACACCAAAACCUAUCGCCCCAAAUCACCCUGGUUCUUACAAGGAGACUGACUGUCAUAUGGGUGUCUUAGCUACAUCCAUAGAAGAUAGGGACUGCCACUGUUACAUAGUUCAGAAUGAAGGGGAUACGUGGUGUUCCUGCAGUGGCCUAUGGGACACAUUUUUACUGUCCUGGGUUGGGGUGAGGGAGAAAUCUACUGACGAUGCCUUUUAAAUAUUUCCAGACUUUGAUGCAGACAUUGGUCCUGAUGAUGGCUGUGGAGACCUCCACAGUUAGGUGCAGAGGUGUUCCCAUAUUCUCCUUUGUCGGACAUUGUGCUACACCGCCUGCCUGGUCAUCUUCUUUUGACCUGGGAUUUAAAGUAGCUUAAAUAUACAUAUUUAUUUAUAUUUUAAAUACCUCUCUGAAGCCAUGCCAAUUUUCAGAGGUGAAGGCAGAGUUGCGUGCUCUACUCGAUCACAGGAGUGAGCCCAGACUGAAGCAGUAGCGGUUCGUGUGCUCUGCCCUGGUUAUAUAAUCUGUAGUUUCUUGUCGGUAUCCUGAGUCAGCCUGAGGCCCACAUCUGGGCAGUGCUCUCAUGACUGUUUAUCAUCUUUGUUGGUCAUGCAUUUCUACACAUUUCUGAAUACUUUUGACAGGGAUCACCCAAGAUUACAGCAUCUACCUAUAAUGCGUGGGAAUAAAGUUAUUUACCGAGAAAAUAGAAUAUUAAGCACAUAAAUUCUUUCGAAAACAGGGAUGUAAUUUAUGCUCAUUUUAAAGUGUAAAUGCAUGCUUAGGGAAGCCAUUUAUCCUGCUUAUCUUCUGUGUUAACCAGCUUUGGGGCAAACUUUAGUACCAGUUGUAUUUUAAACCUUACAUUUAAAAAAAUUUCUUAUGGCACAGUGGAUAAUGUCGUAAAUUAAGACCUGCUUUCCAGGAGAGAUGCAGUUUUGCAAUCACGUUUUGUUGUCAGUAUUGAAGACCACCUGGCAGACCUUAAAGACGCCAUUGGUUGUGCUCAUGCAUUUCGUAUUGGAGUUAAUGAAGCCAAGGGCAUGGUUCUGAUUUCCUGUUCUCAUAUCCUUGGGGACUCUGUGGAUGUUUCUCUGAAUGUCACUGUUUCCUUUUCUAUAGUGGACAAAAGUCACAUUACCUACUUGCAUGAAGUUCAUUCACAAGACGUUUGCGUCACCAAGAAGUUUAAAGGGAUCUGAGACUUUUCAGAUGCAGCAAUUAAAGAAAGAGCUUCAUUUGUGUCAAUCCCCUGUAGCUCUUUGGUCAGAGCUGCUGAGAAGGAACUCAGUGCUGUUUACAUGGUGCUACAUUCUGAGGGGCAGAAUGCAGUGUUCUGAGUGACAUGUGGUUGGGCCUUGAGAUUUUUAGAAGUCAAUUGCUAUGAAAGAUUUCAGAUGACACUGACUCUUAAACAAGGCAGUUCUCACAGCAAAUGACCCAAAGUAAAUAAAGCGUCUUAACUUGU